GAUGAAGAACGCAGCGAAAUGCGAUACUUGGUGUGAAUUGCAGAAUUCAGUGAAUCAUCGAGUCUUUGAACGCACAUUGCGCCCCCUGGUAUUCCGGGGGGCAUGCCUGUCCGAGCGUCAUUGCUGCCCUCAAGCACGGCUUGUGUGUUGGGCCUCCGCCCCCCGGCUCCCGGGGGGCGGGCCCGAAAGGCAGCGGCGGCACCGCGUCCGGUCCUCGAGCGUAUGGGGCUUCGUCACCCGCUCCGUAGGCCCGGCCGGCGCCCGCCGGCGACCCCCCUCAAUCUUUCCAGGUUGACCUCGGAUCAGGUAGGGAUACCCGCUGAACUUAAGCAUAUCAAUAAGCGGAGGA
rnacentral:misc_RNA from 1 species